rnacentral:rRNA from 1 species
GACGAACGCUGGCGGCGUGCUUAACACAUGCAAGUCGAACGGAAAGGCCCUGCUUUUGUGGGGUGCUCGAGUGGCGAACGGGUGAGUAACACGUGAGUAACCUGCCCUUGACUUUGGGAUAACUUCAGGAAACUGGGGCUAAUACCGGAUAGGAGCUCCUGCUGCAUGGUGGGGGUUGGAAAGUUUCGGCGGUUGGGGAUGGACUCGCGGCUUAUCAGCUUGUUGGUGGGGUAGUGGCUUACCAAGGCUUUGACGGGUAGCCGGCCUGAGAGGGUGACCGGCCACAUUGGGACUGAGAUACGGCCCAGACUCCUACGGGAGGCAGCAGUGGGGAAUAUUGCACAAUGGGCGGAAGCCUGAUGCAGCAACGCCGCGUGCGGGAUGACGGCCUUCGGGUUGUAAACCGCUUUCGCCUGUGACGAAGCGUGAGUGACGGUAAUGGGUAAAGAAGCACCGGCUAACUACGUGCCAGCAGCCGCGGUGAUACGUAGGGUGCGAGCGUUGUCCGGAUUUAUUGGGCGUAAAGGGCUCGUAGGUGGUUGAUCGCGUCGGAAGUGUAAUCUUGGGGCUUAACCCUGAGCGUGCUUUCGAUACGGGUUGACUUGAGGAAGGUAGGGGAGAAUGGAAUUCCUGGUGGAGCGGUGGAAUGCGCAGAUAUCAGGAGGAACACCAGUGGCGAAGGCGGUUCUCUGGGCCUUUCCUGACGCUGAGGAGCGAAAGCGUGGGGAGCGAACAGGCUUAGAUACCCUGGUAGUCCACGCUGUAAACGGUGGGUACUAGGUGUGGGGUCCAUUCCACGGGUUCCGUGCCGUAGCUAACGCUUUAAGUACCCCGCCUGGGGAGUACGGCCGCAAGGCUAAAACUCAAAGGAAUUGACGGGGCCCCGCACAAGCGGCGGAGCAUGCGGAUUAAUUCGAUGCAACGCGUAGAACCUUACCUGGGUUUGACAUGGAUCGGGAGUGCUCAGAGAUGGGUGUGCCUCUUUUGGGGUCGGUUCACAGGUGGUGCAUGCCUGUCGUCAGCUCGUGUCGUGAGAUGUUGGGUUAAGUCCCGCAACGAGCGCAACCCUUGUUCACUGUUGCCAGCACGUUAUGGUGGGGACUCAGUGGAGACCGCCGGGGUCAACUCGGAGGAAGGUGGGGAUGACGUCAAGUCCUCAUGCCCCUUAUGUCCAGGGCUUCACGCAUGCUACAAUGGCUGGUACAGAGAGUGGCGAGCCUGUGAGGGUGAGCGAAUCUCGGAAAGCCGGUCUCAGUUCGGAUUGGGGUCUGCAACUCGACCUCAUGAAGUCGGAGUCGCUAGCAAUCGCAGAUCAGCAAUGCUGCGGUGAAUACGUUCCCGGG